GAUCAUGGCUCAGAACGAACGCUGGUGGCGUGUCUUAUACAUGCAAGUCGAGCGAGGCAGCAAUGCCGAGCGGCGAACGGGUGAGUAACGCGUAAGCAAUCUGCCCCAUAUCAGGAAAUACCCGUGCCAACGCGCGGUUAAUGUCCAGGAGAGUGGCCUUCCGCAUGGAGGGUUGACUAGAGAUUUAUCGGUAUGGGAUGAGCUUGCGUCCGAUUAGCUAGUUGGCGGGGCAACGGCCCACCGAGGCGACGAUCGGUAGCCGGCCUGAGAGGGUGAUCGGCCACAUUGGGACUGAGAUACGGCCCAGACUCCUACGGGAGGCAGCAGUAGGGAAUAUUGCACAAUGGGGGAAACCCUGAUGCAGCAACGCCACGUGUGGGAAGAAGCAUUUCGGUGUGUAAACCACUGUCAUGAGGGAAUAAGGCCCGCCUUCGGACGGGAUUGAAUGUACCUUGAGAGGAAGCACCGGCAAACUUCGUGCCAGCAGCGGC
rnacentral:rRNA from 1 species